UGCUUCUGUAAGAAUCCUAGAAGGCAAGGAGAAAAAAACCCGUAACUAUUUUACUUUUUGAAAACUUUUUCUUAUCUAAAAUUCCAAACACACGAAAGUAGAAUAGAUAGUAAUGAAUUCCUGUGUACCUAACACCCAACUUGGACAAUUAUCAAUUUACAGAUUUAAAAAAUCUGUAUACCUGUCAUCCCUUUAGAAUUCCCAGGUAUUUCAUCAACUUUAUCUAUACACAAAAAUGUUUACUUCUUUGACAUCAGAUCUAAAAUUAGGUUUUCUGAAAGCAAACUCUUUUAGUUGUAGCUAUGACAGAAAAUAUUUAAAGCAAACCUAUACAUAAUGUAUUCUAUUUUAGCUCCAAUGUCAAAAUGCCCUUUAG